rnacentral:rRNA from 1 species
AUUGAACGCUGGCGGAAUGCUUUACACAUACAAGUCGAACGGCAGCACGGACUUCGGUCUGGUGGCGAGUGGCGAGCGGGUGAGUAAUACAUCGGAACGUGCCCAAUCGUGGGGGAUAACGUAGCGAAAGCUACGCUAAUACCGCAUACGAUCUAAGGAUGAAAGCGGGGGAUCGCAAGACCUCGCGCGAUUGGAGCGGCCGAUGGCAGAUUAGGUAGUUGGUAGGGUAAAGGCCUACCAAGCCGACGAUCUGUAGCUGGUCUGAGAGGAUGAUCAGCCACACUGGGACUGAGACACGGCCCAGACUCCUACGGGAGGCAGCAGUGGGGAAUUUUGGACAAUGGACGCAAGUCUGAUCCAGCCACUCCGCGUGCAGGAUGAAGGCCCUCGGGUUGUAAACUGCUUUUGUACAGAACGAAAAGGUUUCUACUAAUACUAGGAGCUCAUGACGGUACUGUAAGAAUAAGCACCGGCUAACUACGUGCCAGCCGCCGCCGUAA